CUGUUACAAAGAAAUGAUAAGAAUUCUGGUUAUUGUCAUGAAUGAAGUCAUUGCACAGAGGUCAAAAAAAUAAAUUAUAUAACUGUCUCUAAUCAACAAAAAAAGAUAUAUAAUUCAUAGUGGACCCAUAAAGAAUUAAAAAUCUUUAAGUAACUAAUCAAAAUGAUAAUACCUUUCUUUGAGCUAGAAAUUGUGUCUCUGGUAACGUAUUGGGAUGCUUACUUGCUUAAAUGAAGUCUGUUUAAAAAAAGAUUCAGAGUUACUAACAUAUUCCCAAUUUUGAAUUUGCUGUGAUUCCAGGAGAAGAGUUUAUUUAACUCUUACAUAAUGACAAUUUCCUUGGCCAAGGAUUUAGCUCAGUGGUUCCACCACCUGCCUCAAAAGCGCAAGGUCCUGAGUUCAAUCCCUGGUACCGCAAGAAUGACAAUUUCCUUCAUUCCCUAAAACAUUUGAAGCACAGGCACUUUGGUGAACAAAAAGGAUACAUGCUUUUGGUUGAAUAAAAGCAAGAUCGGUCAACAUUUUAAAUCAGUUUAAGAAGUAGUAAGAACCUGAAGUAUGGAAAUGAAAACCAUCUUUUACUGAGAGUUCUCACUUUUAUUAGUUUUAGAGAGAACAAGGGCAAAUCUCUCAACUGUAACAGAGGCCUCCACUUCAGCUUGAGUUUCAAGGAUACCAGGAGAACUAAGUGUAAUCCUUCCAGCCCCAUCAGCAUCCUCAGGACCAACACCAAACAGGGUGAGUCUCUGAAAAGAAGCUAUUGCUGGAAUGAGUGCUAAGGGAUUGAGCUGAGGACCUUGCACUUGCAAGGCAGGUGGCGGAACCACUGAGGUCUUACAAUAGUGCCCGGUACACAAAGUAGGCUCUUUAAAGGCCUAUCUCUGGUCAGGGACACAGGGAAUCCUGAGCAUUACCAGUUGUGCUUGCAGCAAACAUAGGACCUAUGGGUCCUUCAAUGAGGACCUCUGCUCUUGUCAAGGGUGUUUGGAGUGUUUGGGAAGAUCUGGAACUUUCCUGAAGCAAAGUGAUACAAGUGAAACAUGUUACAUAGUGCCUGAUAUUCACUAGAUCCAUGGGUAUUCUUGAAUCAAAUAAGAUCUUCAGGUUAUAUUUGUAGAUCUUGAAAUUUUCACUGAGUUGAGGCUUCCUCUAAGAAGCAGAUGGAGAAAAAUCUUCUUCUGAGAGAAGCUAAAUUAUCAAAGGCAAUAACAUGUAGCAGAGUUAAGUUAACUGGCAGAUCUCAGGGAGAUGAGAACUCCUUUGAACUUGUGGGGAAGUUUAACGGCAAGAGUGCAGAUUCCUGGGAGAAGAUCCAUUACUAAAAGAAGAUAAAGAACUUGUAAGUAGCUUUCCAGCUGUACAAAAGGGCAGGAUACAGAAUCCAUCCGACUGCAGAAUCCAUGCUUAAUUCUUGCACUGAGGGAGGGAGGACUGUGGAGAAAUUUUAUGGGAUGGUGUUGAAUUAAAUAUCUAAAACCAAAAGUUGGGCAAAUUGUUUUUCCUUCAGUAUUAUAGGUCAGAAUUUAUAAUAUCAAUUUGAACAGGGAAUUAAUUGCGAUUGGGUGACAAGUCACGAGCUGUUAGAGAAUGUAGUGAUUUGCCGAUGCCAAGGCCAAUUCUCUUACUGAGACUCUUUGAAGUCAGGGGACGUUGGGAACAUGUGUGUGUGGGGAGGUUGGGUGAAGGAUAGAAUGAGAAUUAUGGUGAGAACUGGCUUUAUGGUCCUAUCAUUUCCCCAAAACAUCUAUUGCUUUCCCCCUCCUCAUUCAUUGAACAAAUGUUUUAUAACCUUUUUUCUGGGCCUGGCACUCUGCUUGGGCAUAGGCAUUUAAAGAUGAAUACAGAACAAUACCUACUCUUGAGGAGUUUGGAAGUAAUUUGAUCAGCCUCCUCUUCCUAUUAUUAAUAG